GGAGAGAGAGAGAGAGAAUAUAUAAAGAAGGAGGAGAAGAUUGGGGGAUUGAGAAACUUUAGACCUCGCUUUCUUGGACGCGUUCUUCUUUGCACAGAGACAUCGUUCUACCGACUUAUCAGAUAUAAGCGGAGUCUUCGUCGGUGAUAAGUAGGCUUCCUUAUAAGAGAGGUAGGUUAAGUUAUUAUCAAAUUGAGUGAUAAGUUGAUUUGGAGAUAGAGUGGCGGAUUCGAAAACAAAAUUCAAAUAGUGUGAAUAUUCUGUGCACACGUCCAGUCUGGUCCCCACAUUUUUCUCUCUCCUUUAUUAUGUCGCUCUCAGCUUUCGAUGCACUCUUCGUUUGGCUUUUCUCAUA